rnacentral:rRNA from 1 species
GACGAACGCUGGCGGCGUGCUUAACACAUGCCAGUCGAACGGAAAGGCUCCAGCUUGCUGGUGUACUCGAGUGGCGAACGGGUGAGUAACAAGUGGGUAAUAUGCCCUGCACUCUGGGAUAAGCAUGGGAAACUGGGUCUAAUACUGGAUAUGAACUUCCCACUUAUGGGGUUUGGUGGAAAGUUUUUCGGUGUAGGAUGAGCCCGCGGCCUAUCAGCUUGUUGGUGGGGUGAUGGCCUACCAAGGCGACGACGGGUAGCCGGCCUGAGAGGGUGAUCGGCCACAUUGGGACUGAGAUACGGCCCAGACUCCUACGGGAGGCAGCAGUGGGGAAUAUGACACAAUGGUCGGGAGCCUAAUGCGGCGACGCCGCGUGUGGGAAGACGGCCUUGGGGUUGUAAACCUCUUUCAGCAGAGACGAAGCGUAAGUGACGGUACCUGCAGAAGAAGCACCGGCUAACUAUGUG